CAAGGUUGACUAUGUGUUAUUUUCAAUUUAUGUUCCACGGGAAAAAUCUAAACUUGGACACUGAAUUUUGAGAGUUUUUGACUUUACUGAUUGGUGCAUAUAUGUAUACGACUCCAACCGUAUCAGGCGCGGUGAUAAAGUUGUUCAAAAAGUGAUGCUACCUUACCAAACAUUGAUACCGUACUUUUUGAAAAAAGGCCAAUUUCUAUCUUGAUAAGGGCAUUGCCAAAUCUGAAAAUG
rnacentral:lncRNA from 1 species